rnacentral:lncRNA from 1 species
ACUAGUCUUGUGAAAGCAUAGACAGCCCUGUGGAGACAUGAUCAAGCAUGUGCGGGUGUAAUUUUGGGUUCAUGCAGUUUAAGUAUAUGUCUAGAACAUGAUUUUGCCUUGAAAGAUGUAAGGUUUUGCAUGCAUUUAUGAAUAGAACUGUGAGGAUGUUUUGAUGAGUUUGAAAGGUAGAGACAAACCUGUAAGGUUGAGCUUGUGCAAGCAUGACCGAGACUCGUAGGAAAUCCGUUUGUGACUUUGGCAGACUCUUCUUUGACAUAAAACUUUUGAUAAUUUUGUGAAAGUGCUUGGUUCUGUACUUCGGUGUUUUUUAUUUGCUUAAAAUCUUUCUAGGAGAAAAUGGUGUAGGCCGCUUAUUUUACAAUCUUGUUUUAAUAUAACAACUUUUCUAAGAGCUUUGUGUUAUUAAGGAAAUAUAGUUCGGUUCAUACGAAGGAAACAGUUUUGCACGAGUGCAGGUAGCGCUGUAAGGUUGUAGCAGGGCUGUUUAGAACAUUGCAAUACUGUUGGAGGUAUAACAGGGCUGCUUAUCCUUGUUUUAAGCUUAUCCGAGCUUAUUACUUUGGGUUUCAACUUGAGUAUUGUUUAGCCCUAUUUUGUGAUGAUUUUCUAGGUGUUUACGUAUUCUAUUGAUUUAUAUUUUGGUCUUGUUUACUCAAGAAUUGAUUGAUUUGAGCUUAUUUGUUAAUUUUGUAAUUUCAGGAUUUUAUGCUCGAAUUGAUUAAUAAGUGGACUAAACUGGAGAUAGAAUUGAGUUUAGUGAUCUUAAUAAGAAUUGAAGUUCGUCUCAAUACACUCGUGGCAAAAACGAAUCGAAAAUCGUACUUGAAACGAGUGAUAACGGGCCAAAACAAAAGGAUUGCGCAGAGCAGUGGCGAGCACCCGAUGCCCGCCGCCUCCAGAGGUUGUAGGCACCUCUGGGCGGUCGCCCACCGCAGCCAUUAUUUUUUGGAAACCCUAUUUUUAAAUGAAUUCAGCCGCACUUGGAGGGGGGAUGGACCCUAGCCGAAAACACCUCUUUUCUUUUUCUUUCAUUUUGAGAUUUUUGAACACGGAUUAGUUUUUAGAAUUCAAAUAAGGUUUGAUUCUAUUUUAAGCACGCAUCCCAGUGUCUGAUACUUUGCUUUUAAUUAAGUUAUAGGCUGCUUCCCAUUUUCGUUUUUUUGUAAUUCGAUUGGUAAGAUUAGUUUGAAGAAUGAAGUUUUUGUUCAUGUUUCCCAAGGAAAGCCAUUUUAAGACUUAUGAUUCAGCCAAUUUCAUGACAAUUCGAUUCACAUGUUAAAUUGUAAGUCGUCAUCUUCUCUUUUCUAUUAUAUAGUAGCUUGUUUGAUUUUUAUUUUAUUUUGAGAUUGCUUGCUAAUUAUUUCGUUACUUAAUUUUUCUAUUGCUUUAAC